UAGGAAUGCUGCAGAUUCUUUGGUUAUUUGACCUUUGGUUUUCCACUUUUGAUGUUCUGAAGUGGUUAAUUGUGAGCUUUAGCCAUGAAGCCUGAUGUUCAAACAUUGCUUUUCUGAGGAUGGAUGGGGAGAAGGAACAGGGGGAAGAUGGUCAUUUGGCAGUGAUGAUGUGGCCCCGAUUGCAGAAUUGAGUUGGAGGCAGAAGCAUGUGAGCUCUGAUCCUUGCCAGUUCCAUGCUGUGAACAUUCAUGAACAAGUCUUUGUAUGGACAUAUGUUUUGCUUCUCUUGGAAGAAUACCUAUGAAUGGAAUGGCUGGGUUAUAUGGUG